rnacentral:rRNA from 1 species
CGUUGAUAGGCUGGGUGUGUAAGCGUAGCGAUACGUUGAGCUAACCAGUACUAAUGAACCGUGAGGCUUAACCUG